GCAUCUCUCUUUCUCUAAAUUCUCUCCUAUACACACAAAAACCUUUGAUUCCUCACCUUUUUCUACACAUCAAGAGGUAGUGUUCUUGCUCUCCUUUUCCUUUCCUUGGUCUUGACACCUUGGAUGUAAUGCCCCAAAUAAAAAGAAAAUAAGUAAAUAAACUACAAAGUCAAGUUUUUUUAAGAUCCCACAUGCUCCACCUACCCCACCAUUCCCCACCACUCAUUUUCAAUUUCUCUCAUUAUCUCUUGGCCGUCCAUCUCUCUUCCUCAUUUUUUUUUCACAAACACACACACAUUCCUCUUCACUCCCUCACAUUCUCCCACUAGGUUCUACUCCACACCACCAUCUCCACCAUCAUUUUUCCGGCAAGAUCAUCGGAAAAUCUUUAGGAACCUCUAAGCAUCUUCACGUUUGUUAUUUGAGUCUUUGUGACAAUAGAAUUAGAUUUAGGUUAGUGCCUUUUCACUUUGGAUGACGCGUUCUUCUCUACUACCUAUGGGGAGAAGAAGAUCCUUGAUUGUGUAUGGAUGAGGCUGCUACCCAUGGGGCCAAAAGAUCACAUGCAAAAGAGGUCCUAUUAAUUUGACGCGUUCUCCCUGUUGCCCAUGGGAGGAGAGACAAAACCUUGAAGGCAUGGGUGAGGCUGCUGCCCAUAAGGCCAAGAGACUACAUACCAGAGAUGACAAUAUCAUGCCAAUUGUGAAUGAGUGGAUCCCCUAACCAGUCUAUGUGGUAGUGUGGUAUAUUUGUGAUAAUUACCUUAUGUUAGAUUUUAUGGCUUUGGAAUUAUAUUGUUAGUGCUCACAGAUUAUAAUAUAUAGUUUCAUGGUAAUUAUUUUGAGAAACUCUGUGUUUUAUUAUUUAAUAAUUCUUGUCAUAUUAUAAUUGAAAAUGAUCUUGCAGUAUUUAGUUAGAAUUUUUCCAAACUAAAACAUGCUUUGUAACUGUUCAUCAACAUGAAACUUGCAUUUCCCCUACCCUCAUUGAUUAUGCUACUUACUGGGCACUGUCUCAUCCCUUUCUCUUACAAACUUUUUCAGCAUAGGCAAUGAUCAUUUUGAGAUAGGUUUUUGUGGCUAGUAGUAGUUAGACUAACUACUGAUGGAGGUUGGACUUUUGUGAUGGAGAUAUUUAGAUGAUGUAUAUGCUAAAGUAGGUUUGACUCAUUCUUUUGUAUAUUAUAGUGGUUAUGACUUUAUUUCCAUUGAUGGGACAAGUUAAAUAUGUGUAAUUAUAUAUAUUUAAACCUCAAUUCUUUUGGGGCCAAUGGUCCUUGUAAUUAUUGCAUAGAACUCUCACUUACUUUGGGAGUAUUUUUAAUGGAAUUAUUAUGAUAA